rnacentral:rRNA from 1 species
UACGUAGGGUGCAAGCGUUGUCCGGAAUUAUUGGGCGUAAAGAGCUCGUAGGCGGUCUGUUGCGUCGGCUGUGAAAACCCGGGGCUCAACUCCGGGCCUGCAGCCGAUACGGGCAGACUAGAGUUCGGCAGGGGAGACUGGAAUUCCUGGUGUAGCGGUGAAAUGCGCAGAUAUUAGGAGGAACACCGGUGGCGAAGGCGGCGCUCUGGGCCGGUACUGACACUGAGGAGCGAAAGCGUGGGUAGCAAACAGG